rnacentral:sRNA from 1 species
CACUUGCUGCAGCAGCAGCAGCAGCAGCAGCAGGUGCUGCUGCUGCUGCAGCUGUUACACCUGUUGCAGUAGCAGCAGGCGCUGCUGCUGCUGCUGCAGCUGCUGCUGCAGCUGCUGCUGCUGUUGCUGCUGCUGUUGCUGCUGCAGCAGCAGCAGCCGCUGUCGCUGCAGCAGCAGCAGCAGGAGCAGCUGCAACAGCAGCAGGUGUUGCGGCAGCAGCAGCAGCAGCUGCUGCUGCUGCUGCAGCAAGCAAAC